rnacentral:rRNA from 1 species
UACGUAGGGACCAAGCGUUGUUCGGAUUUACUGGGCGUAAAGGGCGCGUAGGCGGCGCGGUAAGUCACUUGUGAAAUCUCUGAGCUUAACUCAGAACGGCCAAGUGAUACUGCAGUGCUAGAGUGUGGAAGGGGCAAUCGGAAUUCUUGGUGUAGCGGUGAAAUGCGUAGAUAUCAAGCAGAACACCUGCGGCGAAGGCGGCCUUCUGGACGACGACUGACGCUGAGACGCGAAAGCGUGGGGAGCAAACAGG